rnacentral:rRNA from 1 species
GACGAACGCUGGCGGCGUGCCUAAUACAUGCAAGUAGAACGCUGAAGGAGGAGCUUGCUUCUCUGGAUGAGUUGCGAACGGGUGAGUAACGCGUAGGUAACCUGCCUGGUAGCGGGGGAUAACUAUUGGAAACGAUAGCUAAUACCGCAUAAUAGCAGUUGUUGCAUGACAGCUGUUUGAAAGGUGCAAUUGCACCACUACCAGAUGGACCUGCGUUGCAUUAGCUAGUUGGUGGGGUAACGGCUCACCAAGGCGACGAUACAUAGCCGACCUGAGAGGGUGAUCGGCCACACUGGGACUGAGACACGGCCCAGACUCCUACGGGAGGCAGCAGUAGGGAAUCUUCGGCAAUGGACGGAAGUCUGACCGAGCAACGCCGCGUGAGUGAAGAAGGUUUUCGGAUCGUAAAGCUCUGUUGUAAGAGAAGAAUGAGUGUGAGAGUGGAAAGUUCACACUGUGACGGUAUCUUACCAGAAAGGGACGGCUAACUACGUGCCAGCAGCCGCGGUAAUACGUAGGUCCCGAGCGUUGUCCGGAUUUAUUGGGCGUAAAGCGAGCGCAGGCGGUUAGAUAAGUCUGAAGUUAAAGGCUGUGGCUUAACCAUAGUACGCUUUGGAAACUGUUUAACUUGAGUGCAAGAGGGGAGAGUGGAAUUCCAUGUGUAGCGGUGAAAUGCGUAGAUAUAUGGAGGAACACCGGUGGCGAAAGCGGCUCUCUGGCUUGUAACUGACGCUGAAGCUCGAAAGCGUGGGGGAGCAAACAGG